rnacentral:rRNA from 1 species
UACGGAGGGAGCUAGCGUUGUUCGGAAUUACUGGGCGUAAAGCGCGCGUAGGCGGCUUUGUAAGUUAGAGGUGAAAGCCCGGGGCUCAACCCCGGAACUGCCUUUAAAACUGCAUCGCUUGAAUCCGGGAGAGGUGAGUGGAAUUCCGAGUGUAGAGGUGAAAUUCGUAGAUAUUCGGAAGAACACCAGUGGCGAAGGCGGCUCACUGGACCGGCAUUGACGCUGAGGUGCGAAAGCCAGGGGAGCAAAGCGGG